rnacentral:misc_RNA from 1 species
UGGAUGUCAGCUCGGCCUUAUUCA